rnacentral:rRNA from 1 species
AUGGAGGAGCAGCAGCGGCCAAUGGCGGCAGACCAGAUCAGCGCGCCGCGGGAGGGGAUGGGGCAGCUCUCAUGGGCCAAGCAGAGCAGAGUCGGCGGGCCAUGCCAGGACCAGCGUGAUAGGUCGCGGGCGAAGAGGGGCCAGGGCGGCGAAGACACCCCAGGAAAGGUGCCGCCGGCCACGACCUUUUUCCUCCUUGCCCUUGUUUUCUCCUUCCCGUCUAGGGUUAUCGCCGCCGCCGCCGCCAUCGUCCCCAUCCUUGCUCGCGGCCUCGGUCUCUGCGUCUCUAAUCGUCCCAAGAUCCCAAACCCGUCGUCGUCUUCUACUUCCCUCUCUUAUUCCCCUAUGCCCCGGCAAGGUGUGCCAAUCCGGCGCACACGGCAAAGUACAUCAGCAUCCAGUAUACCCCUUGACACGGCCAAGGUCAGGCUACAACUGCAGAAGAGGGUCGUCGCCAGGGAUCUCGCUGGGCCCAAGUACCGUGGCCUGCUCGGCACCGCCGCCACCAUCGCCAAGGAGGAAGGCGCCGCCGCACUCUGGAAGGGCAUCGGCCCUGGCCUCCAUCGCCGGUGCAUCUACGACGGUCGCUAUGAGCCCGUCAAAUCCUUCUAUGUUGGUGCCAUGUUGGGGAUGUACCUUUGUCCAAGAAGAUAG